rnacentral:rRNA from 1 species
GACGGAGGAUGCAAGCGUUAUCCGGAAUGAUUGGGCGUAAAGCGUCCGCAGGUGGCAGUUCAAGUCUGCUGUCAAAGACCGGGGCUUAACUUCGGAAAGGCAGUGGAAACUGAACAGCUAGAGUAUGGUAGGGGCAGAGGGAAUUCCUGGUGUAGCGGUGAAAUGCGUAGAGAUCAGGAGGAACACCGGUGGCGAAGGCGGGUCUCUGGGCAGUAACUGACGCUGAGGAGCGAAAGCGUGGGGAGCGAACAGG